GGGUGCUCCUCCAGAAUCCCUUCAUUGAUUGUCUUUCUUUUCAACUGUACUGGGGACCUUUAUCCCUAGCCCCAUAUUGGCCUGAAGGGUUGAUAGCUACGGCCCUCCCUCUCCAGCAACUUGCGCUACGGCCUCCGGCUGCUCAGCAGNGAAGUCCCUUCUCCGGCCAUUAACACCUCCUGAGGAGGGAUAGCCAAGUCAAAAGAGACCUCCGUAGUGUCCUGACCCAGAUUUGGGGUAGGAGUACACAUUGGACGAAGGAGGACGAGGAAAGGAGAGGAAAACAGAAAUAAAUAAAAAGGUUUACCUUAAGAUCUGAAACCCUUUGGUGAUGAAAAAAACAACCGUUUCGGGCAAAAAAAGGCAAAACAGAAAAAUAAAAUUAAAGAAGAAAAGCUAAAGAUACAAAAAUGUAAUAAGGUGGGGUGUUUUAUAUAUAUAGUAGCAGG
rnacentral:misc_RNA from 1 species